UACGGAAGGCAGCAGUGGGGAAUAUUGCACAAUGGGCGCAAGCCUGAUGCAGCCAUGCCGCGUGUAUGAAGAAGGCCUUCGGGUUGUAAAGUACUUUCAGUCGUGAGGAAGGUGUUAAGGUUAAUAACCUUAGCAAUUGACGUUAGCGACAGAAGAAGCACCGGCUAACUCCGUGCCAGCAGCCGCGGUAAUACGGAGGGUGCGAGCGUUAAUCGGAAUUACUGGGCGUAAAGGGCACGCAGGCGGUUAAUUAAGUUGGAUGUGAAAUCCCCGGGCUUAACCUGGGAAUGGCAUUCAAGACUGGUUAGCUAGAGUCUUGUAGAGGGGGUAGAAUUCCAUGUGUAGCGGUGAAAUGCGUAGAGAUGUGGAGGAAUACCGGUGGCGAAGGCGGCCCCUGGACAAAGACUGACGCUCAUGUGCGAAAGCGUGGGGAGCAAACAGGGAUUAGAUAC
rnacentral:rRNA from 1 species